rnacentral:misc_RNA from 1 species
UUUCCGUAGGUGAACCUGCGGAAGGAUCAUUCAUAAUAAAGUGUUUUAUGGCACUUUUUAAAAAUCCAUAUCCACCUUGUGUGCAAUGUUAGAUCUCGUCAAUCUUGGCGAGAUUUUCAUACAUCAACUCAUUCUUUAACUAAUUUGUCUGAAAAAUAUUAUGAAUACUUAAUUCAAAAUACAACUUUCAACAACGGAUCUCUUGGCUCUC